rnacentral:rRNA from 1 species
UAGGGAAUCUUCGGCAAUGGACGGAAGUCUGACCGAGCAACGCCGCGUGAGUGAAGAAGGUUUUCGGAUCGUAAAGCUCUGUUGUAAGAGAAGAACGAGUGUGAGAGUGGAAAGUUCACACUGUGACGGUAUCUUACCAGAAAGGGACGGCUAACUACGUGCCAGCAGCCGCGGUAAUACGUAGGUCCCGAGCGUUGUCCGGAUUUAUUGGGCGUAAAGCGAGCGCAGGCGGUUAGAUAAGUCUGAAGUUAAAGGCUGUGGCUUAACCAUAGUACGCUUUGGAAACUGUUUAACUUGAGUGCAAGAGGGGAGAGUGGAAUUCCAUGUGUAGCGGUAAAAUGCGUAGAUAUAUGGAGGAACACCGGUGGCGAAAGCGGCUCUCUGGCUUGUAACUGACGCUGAGGCUCGAAAGCGUGGGGAGCAAACAGGAUUAGAUACCCUGGUAGUCCACGCCGUAACGAUGAGUGCUAGGUGUUAGACCCUUUCCGGGGUUUAGGUGCCGCAGCUAACGCAUUAAGCACUCCGCCUGGGGAGUACGACCGCAAGGUUG